UACGUAGGGUGCGAGCGUUAAUCGGAAUUACUGGGCGUAAAGCGUGCGCAGGCGGUUUUGUAAGCCAGGUGUGAAAUCCCCGGGCUCAACCUGGGAAUUGCGAUGGAGACUGCAAGGCUAGAAUCUGGCAGAGGGGGGUAGAAUUCCACGUGUGAGCAGUGAAAUGCGUAGAGAUGUGGAGGAACACCGAUGGCGAAGGCAGCCCCCUGGGUCAAGAUUGACGCUCAUGCA
rnacentral:rRNA from 1 species